UUUGACUAUCUGUUGACCAUGUACGAGGCUGCGUGCUAUUGUGGGCAGUAGUCGGCAAUAGCACGGCCGUGUCACGGAUCCGGAUCCGGGGCGUGACAUUUCGUGGUAUCAGAGCUUUAGGACUAACAAGAACAUAACAAUAAAAUUGGGGUUAACGGGUAGUUAAGGGUGUUGAGACUUAUUAGGGUAUAUUGAUCUUACUUUGAAUUUUGGUUGCAGUAAACACUAUAAGAUAUGGAGGAUGAUAGGAGGCCACCGUCCCCAGAUCCUAGCUACCGCUCCGAGUCCCCGGAUACACCACGCUCUGGGGCAGGUAGCGCGGAUCUAGCUGGAGUGUACCAGCUGAUGGCGCAGCUCCUCCAGCAGCAGCAGCAGAUACAGCUAGCUACC
rnacentral:lncRNA from 1 species